rnacentral:misc_RNA from 1 species
GAUGAAGAAGGCAGCGAAAUGCGAUAAGUAAUGUGAAUUGCAGAAUUCAGUGAAUCAUCGAAUCUUUGAACGCACAUUGCGCCCUCUGGUAUUCCGGGGGGCAUGCCUGUUCGAGCGUCAUUAUAACCACUCAAGCUCUCGCUUGGUAUUGGGGUUCGCGGUUUCGCGGCCCCUAAAAUCAGUGGCGGUGCCUGUCGGCUCUACGCGUAGUAAUACUCCUCGCGAUUGAGUCCGGUAGGUCUACUUGCCAGCAACCCCUAAUUUUUUUAAGGUUGACCUCGGAUCAGGUAGGGAUACCCGCUGAACUUAAGCAUAUCAAUAAGCGGAGGA